AUACGGAGGAUGCAAGCGUUAUCCGGAUUUAUUGGGUUUAAAGGGUGCGUAGGCGGUUUGCUAAGCGGGAGGUGAAAUGCCGGCGCUCAACGUCGGAAGUGCCUCCCGAACUGAUGGACUUGAAUGACUCUGCCGUGGGAGGAAUGUGUAGUGUAGCGGUGAAAUGCUUAGAGAUUACACAGAACACCGAUUGCGAAGGCAUCUCACGAAGGGUUGAUUGACGCUGAGGCACGAAAGCGUGGGGAUCAAACAGGAUUAGAUACCCUGGUAGUCCACGCAGUAAACGAUGAUGGCUAACCGCUGGGCUUAUCAGUUCAGUGGCCAAGCGAAAGCGGUAAGCCAUCCACCUGGGGAGUACGACCGCAAGGUUGAAACUCAAAUGAAUUGACGGG
rnacentral:rRNA from 1 species